CAGAAUCCACCAUUGGCACACCAUUCACCAUACAAUUCCACCAUUUAAACACCAUUCACCAUACAUUGAGCUACACCACCACCAUGUGAUAGACAGCCAACAGAUGAUGUUCAAAGAAGAAAUGAAUUGGGUGGUAAGAGGAGAUACCGACAUGCUGCAGAUAGACUGAGCAGAGACAAGGCCAAACACCCACAAUUGGCUCCAUGCCACUGUCGUCGUCAUUGUAAUUCCCUCCAUGAUCCAAAAGAAAGAGAGGCCAAUUGGCAAGAAUGUUGGAGGUUAGAUUAUAGUGAUUGGCGAUACUGGGUAGUCAAAAACAUUGAAAAAGGUUACAGGAAUUCAACAACACGACGUGGGCGGCUAUCGAGACGAAAGUAUACCUUAAAGUACAGAAUCGAUGGCAAGGAAGUUUGCAAAACAUACUUUUUACACACCAUAGGAUAUAAAGAUGAUGCAUAGAACUGCCCUACUCAAAGGCAACAAGGACAAGAGAGGGGCACAUACUUUGUGAGGUUGUUGAUUUGGAAACGAACAAAAGUUAGGAAUCUUAACUUGGAAGAACUUCAGUAUGCUUCUCUACAGAGUGUCCCCCCAAAAGUUUACAGUUGGACUAACUCCUUCCAAUUAAAUAUUUCAAAAUAUUUGAAAACAUGUUUAUACCAAUAGGAAGCCCAUGGUGUAUUAUAUCAAAAUACAUCAAAAAUCAAAUCAAACUUUGACCUUCACUAAGUUGAUGAUUCCAGUUGGAGAUGAUGUUCUAAUUACCAAGUACACAUAGCUCAAAAGUUUACAGUUGGACUAACCUUCCAAUUAAAUAUUUCAUACUAGUAUUUUUGAAAUGUCGAUUUCUAUUACUGUGAUAGAUGCAUUGUUUUUUCCUUAUACAUUACGGACGCUUACAAUAAUUAGCGAGUUAUUAAUGUAAUGAGCGGCAGCCUUUCGCUAUAUAAACAGUGCUACCCAUACUUGUAUUUUUGAAAUGUUGAUUUCUAUUACUGUGAUAGAUGCAUUGUUCUUUCCUUAUACAUUACGGACGCUUACAACCAUUAGCGAGGUAUUAAUGUACAUUAUAAUAUUUCAUAUUUCUGCAUGAUUAUGAUAUAAUUAUACAACGAUCAAGCAUUUGAAAUAAUUUUGUUUUCCACAGAUAGCAUAUUUUCAGUUGCCAGUUGGGAAAAAAUCCUUAUUUCGAUUACACUUGUAUUAUCAAAUGUCAUAAUUGUUUUUUAAAGUUGUUAUUUUGGGGCAAAUUUAUCAUAUGAAAUAAUAAUGCAUAUUUCAUAAUAUGAAUGUUUGAAACAGAGUAUUAAGGAGUUUGAGCUAUUUUUUUGGUUCAUAGUUAACAUUAUAAGUUAAUAAUGCAUAUUUCAUAGCACAGCAGUUGUAAAAUAAACUGAUUGAGAAUUUUUUUUUUUUUCUUGAUAAAAGACAUUUGUGUCAAUUUAAAAAUUUGAAAAUGAAAUCUCUCAGUGCUAAGAAAAAAGGUGAACAUUUGUUUGAAGGUCCUUCGAAAUUUGCGACAGCAAGUCAUCAGUGUUUAAUUGUGGGGAAAUGUAUUUUUUUCUACAGCUUUGACACCAUAGUAUUUUAAUGUCUUAUUUGAAAGUGUCAUCAAAUUAAAAAUUAGCAUAAAAUAUGACUUAAAAAAUUGAUCAUCAGCACUAAUGGAACUGUCUAAAAUGUUUGCAAUUACAAUACCUAGGUACAUAUCUCUCUGCUUAACUUGUACUUUUGUUCUCAAAAUGGAAUUUGUUCUGCUGUUUGAAUAAAGUGAGUCCAAAGAUGCCCUUGAAAGUAA